rnacentral:misc_RNA from 1 species
AAGGAUCAUUACUGAUUUGUUUAAUUGCACCACAUGUGUCUUUUUUAUGAUAUACAUUUCUUUGGCAGCGAGUCUGACUUACUGCCAGAGGUUAUAAACUAAACCAAACUUUUUAUUUAUUCAGUCAACAACGAUUAUUUAUAAUAGUCAAAACUUUCAACAACGGAUCUCUUGGUUCUCGCAUCGAUGAAGAACGCAGCGAAAUGCGAUACGUAAUAUGAAUUGCAGAUAUUCGUGAAUCAUCGAAUCUUUGAACGCACAUUGCGCCCUUUGGUAUUCCAAAGGGCAUGCCUGUUUGAGCGUCAUUUCUCCCUCAAACCCUUGGGUUUGGUGUUGAGCAAUACGCUAGGUUUGUUUGAAAGAUGUAAUGUGGAAACUUAUUAGCGACUUAGGUUUAUCCAAAAAAAAACGCUUUUGUUUAGUGACCACCACAACUUUUUUAACUUUUGACCUCAAAUCAGGUAGGACUACCCGCUGAACUUAAGCAUAUCAAUAA